CUUGCUCUCCUGAUGGUUAGCGGCGGACGGGUGAGUAACACGUAGGCAACCUGCCUGCAAGACCGGGAUAACCCACGGAAACGUGAGCUAAUACCGGAUAUCUCAUUUCCUCUCCUGAGGGAAUGAUGAAAGACGGAGCAAUCUGUCACUUGCGGAUGGGCCUGCGGCGCAUUAGCUAGUUGGUGAGGUAACGGCUCACCAAGGCGACGAUGCGUAGCCGACCUGAGAGGGUGAACGGCCACACUGGGACUGAGACACGGCCCAGACUCCUACGGGAGGCAGCAGUAGGGAAUCUUCCGCAAUGGGCGAAAGCCUGACGGAGCAACGCCGCGUGAGUGAUG
rnacentral:rRNA from 1 species